rnacentral:rRNA from 1 species
UACGUAGGGUGCAAGCGUUAAUCGGAAUUACUGGGCGUAAAGCGUGCGUAGACGGUUAUUUAAGUCAGGUGUGAAAGCCCAGGGCUCAACCUUGGAAUUGCAUUUGAGACUGAAUAGCUAGGGUGCGGAAGAGGGAAGCGGAAUUUCCGGUGUAGCGGUGAAAUGCGUAGAUAUCGGAAGGAACACCAGUGGCGAAAGCGGCUUCCUGGUCCAGCACCGACGUUCAGGCACGAAAGCGUGGGGAGCAAACAGG